AUGAAAGGCCCACGUUGUAGAGAACAUUCUCCACUCCUGAUAAACAGGAUAUCGGACUCCCCUCGGAGAUGAUGCCUGCUCACCUGAGUCCAUCCCAGCUCACAGGAAAUCCUGAAGGAACUCUGUGGCCAACCCAAUACAUCAUAAUACUAACGUCACCAGGCUAUUGGGAUGAUUAACUAAGAGCCAAAGACAUGGCCCUGGUGGAUGUGAGUGGUCCAAGUCCUCAGGCAGCGGCUCUCAGCCCUGGCAGGUGGUACAGAGCCCACACGGGAACUUGAAGGAGAUGGGAAUGCUUCAAAAGGCGUUCUAUCUGGGGGAGAAAUGGGUUCCCGGAAGAACUGAUGCUUUCAAACUAUGGUGCUGGAGAAGACUCUUGAGAGCCGCUUGGACUGCAAGAAGAUCAAACCAGUCAAUCCUAGAGGAA